rnacentral:rRNA from 1 species
GCGGUAUUCUGACCGUGCGAAGGUAGCAUAAUCAUUAGUCUCUUAAUUAGAGGCUGGAAUGAAUGGUUAAACGAGAAAAUAACUGUCUCUCAUACAAAAUUUGAAUUUCAUUUUUAAGUGAAAAAGCUUAAAUAUAUUUGAAGGACGAUAAGACCCUAUAGAGCUUUACUUCAAUAAAAUACAAACAACCUAGAAAUUAUAACUAUUAUUUAGUAGAAGUUCCGUUGGGGCGACGACAAGACAACAAAUAACUCUUUAUUUUUUAAACAAUUAAAAUUGAUAUAAUUGAUCCUUAAAGAAAGAUCAAAUGAACAAGUUACCUUAGGGAUAACAGCGUAAUCCUUUUUGAGAGUUCUCAUCAACAAAAGGGUUUGCGACCUCGAUGUUGGAUUAAGAGUUCACCAAGGUGCAGCAGCUUUGGUAGAUGGUCUGUUCGACCUUU